rnacentral:rRNA from 1 species
CAGUUAAAAAGCUCGUAGUUGGAUUUUGGUUAAGAGGGCGCGGUCGGCCGUUUGGUCUGUACUGCGUUGUCUUGACUUCCUGAUGAGGACAUGCUCUUGGUUAACGCUGAGACAUGGAGUCAUCGUGGUUACUUUGAAAAAAUUAGAGUGUUCAAAGCGGGCUUACGCUUGAAUAUAUUAGCAUGGAAUAACACUAUAGGACUCCUGUCCUAUCUCGUUGGUCUCGGGAUGGGAGUAAUGAUUAAGAGGAACAGUUGGGGGCAUUCGUAUUUCAUUGUCAGAGGUGAAAUUCUUGGAUUUAUGAAAGACGAACUUCUGCGAAAGCAUUUGCCAAGGAUGUUUUCAUUAAUCAAGAACGAAAGUUGGGGGCUCGAAGAUGAUUAGAUACCAUCCUAGUCUCAACCAUAAACGAUGCCGACUAGGGAUUGGUGGAUGUUAAUUGAUGACUUCACCAGCACCUUAUGAGAAAUCAAAGUUUUUGGGUUCCGGGGGGAGUAUGGUCCCAAGGCUGAAACUUAAAGGAAUUGACGGAAGGGCACCACCAAGCGUGGAGCCUGCGGCUUAAUUUGACUCACCACGGGGAA